rnacentral:SRP_RNA from 1 species
AACGCUGCGGGCGGUGAACGCUCGCGAACCUGGUCAGAUGGGAAACCAAGCAGCCAUAAGCAUUUUGCUUUCAGGUGCCUGCAGCACUCUU